UACGUAGGUGGCAAGCGUUGUCCGGAAUUACUGGGUGUAAAGCGCGUGUAGGCGGGAGGCCAAGUCUGCUGUGAAAUCGCCCGGCUCAACUGGGCGGGGCCGGUGGAAACUGGUCACCUGGAGGACGGUAGAGGCGAGUGGAAUUCCCGGUGUAGUGGUGAAAUGCGUAGAGAUCGGGAGGAACACCAGUGGCGAAGGCGGCUCGCUGGGCCGGACCUGACGCUGAGACGCGAAGGCGUGGGGAGCGAACGGG
rnacentral:rRNA from 1 species